rnacentral:lncRNA from 1 species
GGGAAACAGUCUCAUCUGGUGGAUAUCAGGGAAUUAGCAAAAAACAGUACCAAAGAGGGACUUAGCGGCAAAGAGGCGAUUAGACAAGGAAAUAUGGAAUUUUGUUUACUUUCUCUUAAGCAGUGCGCGGUGUCACUGCAGCAAGCGUAUGCAGGUUCCGAAUCUCCGAAGACUCUGUUACCUUUUCCUGUCUCGUUGACGAGGUCAGGUUAUCCCAUGACUUUCUUAUGAGUCAGCUGUGGCAUUUAGGUUUCCUAUCUACAAUUCAUUAAACACCAGAAAAGCAUUGGAGUCUUUCUUUUUUUAUGAUCUCCGACCCCGCAAGGCACUACUGUAGAGCACUACUGGGCGGAGCUUCUCAAUCCAAUUCCUUACCACAGCUGCUUUAAGCUUUCGUUCCUUUCGUAUAGUGGAAAAGGGCUGGCUUUCCCUAGACGGAAGAAAUAAGAAAGAAGAAACUUACUAAAUUAAGAAGACCAAAGCCAUAAGCUACAGCUUCCCCUGCCGGAGUUGUGCUUGGUGGAAUUCAGGCCUCAAAUCAUCACUUUCUCACCGACCUUUACCCAUGCUAAACGUGUCCCAGUUUACUAACGAACCGGUGACGUAAAGCUUCUAUUCUCAAUUGAUCCUUUUUUCUUCCCCUCUGCAGCCUCACAGUUGUCUUUUAUUGCCCAUCGAUAAAGGAAUGACUCUUGGUGAGCCAAUGAGCUCAAAUCAAGCUAGAGAACUUCCUGAACCAGAUAGUGUGACGGCGGAACUUAUUGCUAUCUAUCAAUUCCCAGAGUUUAGUUCAGAACCUCGUAGGCCGGGAAUGCCAUCAAGAAGCCUUUUCCUCUCGGUGUCAGUGUCAGCCAAGUUAGCAUCGGCUUCGCCAAAGCCAUCAUUUUAAGCGGAUGACAUUGAUGAGUGAUCCAACAGUCUUGAGUGGUAGUUCUCAAAGGAGAAGGGAUCCGAGGUACUAAGUAGCUAUGGAAUGAAGGCGAACUAAAAGCUUUCUCCCAUUCUCCUUCGAUUCGUGACGUGAUUAGCCGGAACAGUCGAUUGAUCUGAUCUACUCAUAUCAGAGUACCGCGCCAAUGUCGUUUAAGACAGCGGAGUUUGACAGACUCUGUACGGGAAGAAGGGCGGCUCAUUAAAUUAUUCUUAUUUUAUUAAUCACAGGUAUGAGUUUUAGGGCGACGGGCCUACGCCUACUAUGAGAAGUGCCCAUCCUUCUCUCAGGUAUUCUUUCGACCGCGUCUAAAAAAGAAAAAAACUUGACCUUUUUUAAAGACAUCCCUCGAGCUCCGCAGCUUUAACACCGGAUGGAAGUACGGUCAGAUGAAUAGAACCAAUACUAUUAGUCUCAGCGGUUGACGGCAAGGAAGGAAGUGAAGUUUUCCCCUAUCCUGUAUGAUUUUUAAAAGUAGGGUCUGUAGGCAGAAUAGCUGCCCUAGGCAAAAGACUCCGAAAUCAGUGAUUCAUUAGAUAGAGAAGUCGUGAAAAGUUCUCCGCGAGAAAGAAGGACGCGACUCCUCUCUAGCCUAGCACCCUUUCCCUCAAACCUGAGAACAGGCAUCUCAGAAGGAAAGUUUUUGAACUUUCGGGCGAUGUCCUUACUAAAGGACCGGAUAAGCAGCUAGAUCGAUUCCUAACAGAUUGGAAAAUCUUUCUUUGCUUAAAACACAGGAGAGCUAACUCGAUGAUCGACCAAGCCAUUCAAUGGCAUCGGUUUUUCCUAGACCUCAAAGACUGGCACCUCCUUCAGAUUCUAGAAAAGAAAGUAGAAGACAAGGAUAAACAAACCAGACCUAACCUAGUUCCCCUUCUAUUCUAAAAGAAGGCUAGUCUAGGCUAGUUGUCUAAGUAAGUCUCGCUAGUACCUUUUCAAUUGGAAGAAAGGAUAGUUCAAUUCUAAGGUAAGCUUUCUUAGCCGACAAGCCAGCCUUCUUUUACCUCAAGCCUAAGGAGAAGAUCGGUACAUCGAUUCAUCGGCCAAAGAGUCCUGGAACUGAGUCCCUAUAAGCAAUAGAGGCCUCUCUGCAGGCUUUCACGGAACUACUUAGCCUAGCCUAUAAGGAUAAGGAGCUUUUCUAGCUCUUUUCUUUCUAUUUACGAGAGUACUUCGCUUGUCCUCCUUCCUUUCCUGAGCUUAUGUCAAUCAAUAAAAGAAGUCAGUCUACCCCUUCUCUUUAUUAUACUAGGAUAGCUAAGCUAGUAAAUAAAAAAUCCGGCUUGAAAGGACACAUCUGCAAGGGAAAGGGCCAUGAUUCCAUUCAAAAAAGGACUCUUCUUUUAUUGCAGAACCUUACUUAUCUUGCAAGCAAGCUUACUAUAUCAAUCACUUAGAAAACCGCCUUAACUGAAAUGAAAAAAAAAAGGACUAGACCGCCUAGGUGGGAGGGCAAGACCUACUAGAUCUGAAAAGAGUAAAGAAGUAAUGAACUCUGGCGGAUCUCUGAAGACUGUACCGAGUUGAUAUGAAGCCCUAGCUUGGCAAGUCCAUCUACGCAGAAAUUCC